rnacentral:rRNA from 1 species
CCCUAAACGGCCGCGGCACUAAAACCGUGCAAAGGUAGCACAAUCACUUGUCCAUUAAAUGAGGACCCGUAUGAAAGGCAACAUGAGAGAAAACCUGUCUCCUAAGGUUAGCCAAUGAAAUUGUACUACCAGUACAAAAACUGGUAUAUCAAAGCAAGACAAAAAGACCCUGUGGAACUUUUAACAAAUUGUUUAAACACAUAAACAACAGUUUCAGUUGGGACAACUUUAGAAAAAAUAAACUUCUUAAUUUACCAAGACAAACAAGUCCAAGACAAUACAGAUCCAGUAACACUGAUUAACGAAACAAGCUACCCCAGGGAUAACAGCGCCACCUUCUCAAAGAGUCCAUAUCAACAAGAAGAUCUACGACCUCGAUGUUGGAUCAGGAUACCCAGACGGUGCAACAGCUGUCAAUGGUUCGUUUGUUCAACGAUUAAUAUCCUACGUGAUCUGAGUUCAGA